CCGUUCUUAGUUGGUGGAGUGAUUUGUCUGGUUAAUUCCGUUAACGAACGAGACCUUAGCCUACUAAAUAGUUGAUGCAAUCAUGAUUGCAACAACUUCUUAGAGGGACUUUGUAAGCAAAUACAAGGAAGUUUGAGGCAAUAACAGGUCUGUGAUGCCCUUAGAUGUCCUGGGCCGCACGCGUGCUACACUGACAUAUACAGCGAGCAUCUCCAGCGCCGCGAGGUCGCUGGUAAUCAGCAAUAUAUGUCGUGAUGGGGAUAGAUCUUUGGAAUUAUUGAUCUUGAACGAGGAAUGCCUAGUAAGCGCAGUUCAUCAGACUGCGUUGAUUACGUACCCUGCCCUUUGUACACACCGCCCGUCGCUCCUACCGAUUUCGAGUGGUCCGGUGAACCUUUCGGACCGAGGGCAGCCCCGUGCUGUCUUUGGGAAGUCAAGUAAACCACAUCACUUAGAAGAAGGAGAAGUCGUAACAAGGUAACCA
rnacentral:rRNA from 1 species